GUGAGCGGUCGCUUUUUUGUUGUUGCCACCAAGAAUUGUGGGACGGGAUUAUCUCUUUUUCCUUUUGUAAAGGACGUCCGGUGUAUCCUAUUCUAAAAGGAGAUAAGAAAGGAAGCAUGCGCGCUCCUUUCCUUAAACAUUUAAGGCCACAUAAAUACUUCCAGGUCAAUUAAUCAACCAGGCCCCCUGACUCUGUUUGACCUGAACCUUAAUUAGUAUCAUUGGUAACACCUGUGUUUACCCGACUAUUUCAUGUCAAAAAUGAAGUCUGUUUAGUGUCAGCUAUUAGAAAAGCCAAGUCACUUUCCUAGGUGUUCACUUCCUAUGAACAUGUUUGCACUGUGUGUAAUCACAGCUUAUCACAGGUGACCCUGACCUUGACCUGCUCUGGCCUUGGUCUAGAGCAGUCAAGGCUGUGGUGUAAACAGUUUCACAGCUGGUGUCUGAAACUGAUGAUGUAACACAAGUGUUUAGACUGACAGCACACAGCGGGAGUGCCUCAAAUGUUCCAAAGUGGUGCUACACGUGACCAACGUCAACAAAAGACCUGUGAGUGUAAGCUUUGCUACAAGGUACACACAACAAAGAGAGGGACUACAUGUUCUGCUUGUUUUAACUACGGGCCAAAAGGAAAAAAAAGAAAAAGCUGCUGCUUUUUUGAGGAUGGAUGGCCAGCGUUAGUGCUAAUAAAACCAGCUCAUGCUAAAAAACAAAAAA